rnacentral:rRNA from 1 species
AGCGAACGCUGGCGGCAGGCCUAACACAUGCAAGUCGAACGGACCCUUCGGGGUUAGUGGCGGACGGGUGAGUAACACGUGGGAACGUGCCUUUAGGUUCGGAAUAGCUCCUGGAAACGGGUGGUAAUGCCGAAUGUGCCCUUCGGGGAAAGGAUUUAUCGCCUUUAGAGCGGCCCGCGUCUGAUUAGCUAGUUGGUAAG